GGUGAGGUGGCCGAGUGGCUUAAGGCGCAUCCCUGCUAAGGAUGAAUAGGGGCAACUCUAUCGUGGGUUCGAAUCCCACCCUCACCGCCA
rnacentral:tRNA from 1 species